GGGGAGAACUAAAACAACUGUGAUGGAAACAUAACUAAAUCUUCUCAAAGCACUGCAAACAUUAUUAUAAUUUUUUACUAAAUCAAUGACUAAAGAUAUGCAGGAAAGUAGCUAAAGCACUAAACCAAGGAAGAUCCGGUAAGAACUUCUAGUUAAUCCAAGGAUCUAACUCAGGGGGAGUCCCCUUUCCUAUCUGAUUUGAGAAAUUCUUUACUGUUUCACCUUUACUCUGUAUUGUUUUGUCAUCAUAAAAAAGGGGGAGAU
rnacentral:lncRNA from 1 species